rnacentral:lncRNA from 1 species
UGCCGUUGAAGAGGAGAGAAUGGACUAGUCGUUGAACAUGACCACCAUCCUCUCCGGCAAACCCCUCACCGCAGCGCCCUAUUCCUCGUCGACGCUGUUUUAGCAUACGUCUUGUUUAGUUCCGAAGAAAUUUCGGAUUUCGCUAUUGUAGCACUUUCGUUUUUAUUUGAUAAAUAUUAUCCAAUCAUGAACUAAUUAGGAUCAAAAGAUUCGUCUCGUGAUUUACAGACAAACUGUGUAAUUAGUUUUUAUUUUUGUCUAUAUUUAAUGUUUUAUGCAUGUGUCGCAAGAUUCGAUGUGACGGGGAAUCUUGAAAACUUUUUGGAUUUCGAGGUGAACUAAACAAGGCCAUAGUCCAGCUACCUUGCGCCGAAUCCACGGGAAAACUUGUCGCAACAAGUACUUAGCUUGUCACACUCAUACAAGACGAGUGGUUUGUACAAAAGUGUUCAUGUCACACUACCACAUAUAUAUGGUCCUUAAUCAGUCCAGUGAGCUACACCAUUCAUCUACGAUCUAAGCAAGCUAAGCAUGUAUUACGUGACAACUGAAAGUGAACAAACAAUGAUACAAGGCAUUGGAUCAAUCACAAGGAAUUGAAGCUCAACUAGGUACUUUAGGUAACUAUUUAAUUUGUAAUCUAGCAUGCAUAUACUUAAUCUUUAGUCACAUUAUGCAACCCUCAAAAGGAAAAAGUUAGAAUACUUACGUACCUGCCUUGGGGUUCAGUCGGGGGCUGCUCAACAAAUGUGUCGGUCACGGGGGUACGAUUCUUCAACUUUAUAUGUGAACUUCAAUUUGGUACAUGUACAUGUACUGAAGAUGUGAGAAUGGAUGAUAGAUUUGAAGGUCUGGACAACCUCGGUGAGUUCUUUAUCAAGCUUGCUGACACCGAGAAGCAUAAACUUUAUGGUUGGGCUUCUUAAUCCUCAAAUUAACAUUGAUCUUACCAGUGGUGACAACAAGUGUGUUGAAAGAGUGUUCUCUGCAUCAUGUGUAGUGAAGAAUAAGGUGAGAAACAGUAUGAGUACGUAACAAGUUACUAAAUGAUUGUUUGGUUAUGUUUAUUGAGCAUGAUAUAUUCUCUAAUGUAAAAGAGUAUGACAUAGUUCAUGCUUUCAUGGCAAUGAGGAAGCACAGAGCAAAAGCCAGUAUUGAAGUCUCUUAUACGUAAGGCCUUAUCUUAUGUAUGAUCUAUUUGUGUAAGUUUCAAACCUAAUUGUGUAAGUUUUGAACCUUUUAAAUGUACUAUCCACUACUACAUUUUUUUAACCGCGGCAGGCAAAAACGGUUAACUGCGGCGGGCAAAGCAACCGCCUUGGAUCAAAUGUCACGGUUAAUUCUGGCCUUAACGAGGUUGGCGCUGUAAAGAAAUUGUCUCGGUUAAAGGUGGUUGCCCUAAUUUGACCAACUCCUUUAAAGGAAUAACCGAGGUAGUUUCGUUAAGGCAACCACCUCUGUAAUGAGUUUAACCGAGGCAGUUUUUGUUAGAUGGCCGCCUCCGUUAAGUGUAUCCAGAUUGAAAAAAUACUUUUUUGAAUUUGUUUUCGAAUUUGAAACAGAAAUUUGUUAGAGCAUAUACAAAGCAAAAGACAUGCACAUGAAGGAUAACGACAUAUAUUAUAUCCAUUCAUGUGUCGUCUUUAUUAUCAUUCUACGGUCCAUGUCACACAAUAAGUUCAUAUUACAUGAAUGUAGACAAUGUUUAUAAAAAGCACAUCUAAUAGUGUUCACUCAAAAAAUGCCCAACAACUUAUAAUCGUUCAUGUCUAGAUUGUUGGUUCUUUAGUUGCGUAGCUUCUCAAACUUCUCCUCUCGCUAGCUCGCUCUUGGUAUAGAAGAAUUGUCCGUCAACAUGACAACAUUCAUCUGUGACAAACUUACAAAUGUUGACUAUUGUUUGCGUGAUGGUCCUUUGAUCAAUUGUUUCCUUUUCCCACCAACUUUAGGAUUUCUGCAGCUGUCGCCAACUACUGCUGAAUCUCCCGCAAGCCUUGAUGUACUCACAAGCAUGGUAUCCACACAAGACCGAGCCUUCAGUUUGUUUGGUGCACUACAUGCAUGAUAAAGGUAACACACGAUCAUUGGUAGUAGUAUCCAUACAAGACGGAUCCAUCAAUAGUAGUAGAACUAGGGGCAGGAGGAGUAAGUACUGAGAAUUCUUGCCCCAUAGCUAGUUUGUGGCCAUACUUCUGCUUGUCUUUCUCGGACCUCCGAUCAUAGCAGCUGGGGUCUUCCACGUACU